rnacentral:rRNA from 1 species
CGGAUUGCAGGCUGCAACUCGCCUGCAUGAAGCUGGAAUUGCUAGUAAUCGUAGGUCAGCAUACUACGGUGAAUACGUUCCCGGGCCUUGUACACACCGCCCGUCAAACCAUGAGAGUUGGCAACACCCGAAGUCGGUAGUCUAACCGUCAAGGAGGACGCCGCCGAAGGUGGGGUUGAUGAUUAGGGUUAAGUCGUAACAAGGUAAC